CCUAAAUGCUGGUUGCCAACCGCCAAUCAAAUCAAACGAAGAAGAAGAAAAAUAAACUAAAAUCAUUAAACUGCGUCAGCACAAACAGAUGAUGUCCCUGUUCUGCAUUUUACUCUCACUUCAUUCCAAAUCUCAGUGAGAUGCCUUCUUCAGCCCACGAAAACUCUGAUCCUGCGGUACAGAAUGAUGUUUAGCAGAAAACCUGUGACAGCUGCAGCAUUACUGAUACUCGUGAUGAAUGUCUGCAGAGGAAAUGGCCUCACAUGUCAUCGAGGAGAGUAUCAGAGAGGGAAUGAAUGCUGUCCUGUGUGUCCUGCUGGAAGUCGAGUUAAAACGCAUUGUACAGAAUUCACAAUAACUUCCUGUUUGCCCUGCACUGAGGGAACCUUCAUGAGUCAGCCGACUGGACGUAGACAAUGUUUUCUUUGUUCAACUUGUGUUGAAAGUUCUGGUUUGAAGAUAAAUACGUCAUGUACAACAACAUCAGAUGCAGUUUGUGAACCACUGGAGGGAUUCUACUGUCUGGAAUCUACAUGGAACGGCUGUAUGACAGCACAGAGACACACAAGCUGUCAACCAGGACAAUACAUCAGAAA